UCUACGGGAGGCAGCAGUAGGGAAUUUUCGGCAAUGGGGGGAACCCUGACCGAGCAACGCCGCGUGAACGAAGAAGUUAUUCGUAAUGUAAAGUUCUUUUAACAGGGAAGAAAGAGAAAUUUGACGGUACCUGAAGAAUAAGCUCCGGCUAACUACGUGCCAGCAGCCGCGGUAAUACGGAGGAUGCGAGCGUUAUCCGGAUUUAUUGGGUUUACAGGGUGCGCAGGCGGAAGAUCAAGUCAGCGGUAAAAUUGAGAGGCUCAACCUCUUCGAGCCGUUGAAACUGGUUUUCUUGAGGGAGCGAGAAGUAUGCGGAAUGCGUGGUGUAGCGGUGAAAUGCAUAGAUAGCACACAGAACUCCGAUUGCGAAGGCAGCAUACCGGCGCUCAACUGACGCUCAUGCACGAAAGUGUGGGUAUCGAACAGGAUUAGAUACCCCAGUAGUC
rnacentral:rRNA from 1 species